rnacentral:rRNA from 1 species
AACGCGAAGAACCUUACCUACUCUUGAAUCCACGGAAUCUUGCAGAAAUGUGAGAGUGCCUUCGGGAGCCGUGAGACAGGUGCUGCAUGGCUGUCGUCAGCUCGUGUCGUGAGAUGUUGGGUUAAGUCCCGUAACGAGCGCAACCCUUGUCCUUAGUUACCAGCGAGUAAAGUCGGGGACUUUAAGGAGACUGCCGGUGAUAAACCGGAGGAAGGUGGGGAUGACGUCAAGUCCUCAUGGCCCUUACGAGUAGGGCUACACACGUGCUACAAUGGCCGGUACAAAGGGUUGCCAACCCGCGAGGGGGAGCCAAUCUCAAAAAGCCGGUCGUAGUCCGGAUUGGAGUCUGCAACUCGACUCCAUGAAGCUGGAAUCGCUAGUAAUCGCGGAUCAGAACGCCGCGGUGAAUACGUUCCCGGGCCUUGUACACACCGAUACUC